rnacentral:rRNA from 1 species
UACGUAGGGUGCAAGCGUUAAUCGGAAUUACUGGGCGUAAAGCGUGCGCAGGCGGUGAUGUAAGACAGGUGUGAAAUCCCCGGGCUCGACCUGGGAACUGCAUUUGUGACUGCAUCGCUGGAGUGCGGCAGAGGGGGAUGGAAUUCCGCGUGUAGCAGUGAAAUGCGUAGAUAUGCGGAGGAACACCGAUGGCGAAGGCAAUCCCCUGGGCCUGCACUGACGCUCAUGCACGAAAGCGUGGGGAGCAAACAGG